ACAUUACUGAAGAGUCGCACGACAAGACGAAACGGCCGUCUAGUGU
rnacentral:hammerhead_ribozyme from 1 species